UAGAGGAGACAAAAGAAAAGAGAAGACGCUCCGAGAGCUACUUUGUAGGGCUGGAGCGGGGGUAGGUCUGUGGCUCGAGAGUGACCUACAUGGCAGCAACGGCGAACUCGGGUGUGUGUCAGCGGCCCUAAAGCGGGGCGGGGGAGGAGGGGGAGGGGGUGGUUCGAGCUCUCGUGGCCGUCCUAGUGGGGCAGGAAAGGGAGGCGCGCCCUCCAAUACCGUCUCGUAGUCGGCCCCGCCGCCGCCAGAAGAGAAGCCGUGUGUCCCUCGGCUCGGCCCCGCCGCAGGGGCACGGCACAACCACCUCGGGGAGGAGGGCUACCCACCGACCACCGAGGCAACGAGCGUCGUCGGGGGUAGCGAGCGGCCUAGACCGCCGGCCGGUCGUGCACGCCCCUGAACCAACCCGGGCAACGGCCGCUCGUGUUCAGCGACGGCAGGCGGCGAAGGAGUAGAAAACAACACGGAACGCGGUGGAUCGCGAGGGGGAAGCGGGGGGACGACGAACGGUACAUCCGCGGUAUCGGUAGCGAGGGAACGGAGCGCGCAGUGGUAGCGGAGCCAGGCUGUGGAGGUUGAGGUUCGGUGGCCGGUUGCUCACUGUGUUACGGUGGGGUGGUGUGGUGGUGUUCGCGAUGACCGGGUCGCCCCGGUCACAACGAGGGGAGGCCGGAGAGAAAACUCCAGUUGGGACUCGGAGGAAACAGGGCGCCGAGGUGGAGGCAAGGGCAGGUGGUACCGGAGAGGCAGAGCUAAGCAGGCAGCGUCCUAGGUGCUACCAGAGGAGGAGGUCCCUAGGCGGUACCUCCAACGGCGGAGAGGGCAGAGCUAGGCAGACGGCGGCCUAGGUGCCGCCUCGUCGGCUCUAGGGAGUGGGCAAGGCGCUGCGGAGCCGGGCGGUUCCGGUCGCGGCUCCUGCUGUUCCGCGCGUCCUUCCGGUUCCGGGAGUGGUUCGUCGCCUUCCUGAACGCCCGAUCCGAGCGGAUGGCGUUCGCGCGGGCGAUCGAGUGCAGGUACGGCCGGUUCCGGUGGCGGCGCUGUGGUCCUUGUUGUUGCGGUACCUAGGGCUACACUUCGAGGUGACAUCGGACUAGACUGGACCCUCCCACAGCGCGACGCGAGCCCGCGGCGUAGUCCGCCGCCGCGCGCUCCACCCUCCCCUCGUGCCUCUGCCCGCUCGUCUCUGCUUCUUCCUCUUUUACCUCUCCGCCCCGCCACCGGUACCGUCCCUCCGAUGCGAGCCCCCGGUGUAGUCCGCCGCUGUUGCUUCGCCCCCCACACGUGGCUCUGCUUCCUGUGCUCUUACCUCCGCAGGCCCUCGCUCCUGAAGCUACCGCGGUAAGCGGGGAUGAGGUGUGAAGCAGUCUUGAGGUAGACAACCAAGACGUGAAUCCGGGUUCAACUCGUAUACAAUCUACCAGACCUACUGUACCUGCCGCGGCUCCUACAGGGAAAACUACUCGAGUAGUAUCCGUACGUUCCGAAUCAUAAAGUGAACCAACUCUUACGUUAAUGUUAUAUAUAAUGUAUGUUCAGACUACCUAAGUUCUCUUACUUCUCACUUCUUAUGAUAUGAUAUUUAUGCAGUUGAUAUCUAUUGGGAGGGUUGAUGUUACAACGUGGACUGUUGGAGGAUGAGCUGCUCCGGUUCGAUAGACGUCCCCUGGUACGGCGACCUGCAAGGAUUCUACACACGACGAUCUACUGGAAGAACGACGACGUUGUUGUUUACGUCGAUUGGUACAUUGACGUCGAGGACGAUUGUACGUUCGACCUCCUCGUGGCCCGUAUAAACGAUACUACUACUUGUUUAUCCGUUUACUGACGUAUUUGUUGACGACUACCUCGACACCAAGAACCUUUAGGUCAACGAGGAGGACAAUUACCCCUACACAUAUGCCUAUAGUCGGGACUCUUACAACACCAGGUCACUGUGGCUCCAAACGUAAUAAAGACAGGAUCUGAACACGUCUGGUAGAAAGAUACCUACCAGAAGACAAGUAUAAUUUACACUUGAUGGCGGAUGAUUCUACACAAAGCUUGAAUAAAAACACACACACACACACACACACACACACACACACACACACACACACACACAAACACACCCAAACACACACACGUCUUCUAUCACGUUUACACGAUUAAUAAGCUAACUUUGUAGACGACGUCUCCAACUCCAUUAAUCACGAUGAAAUCGACCAUAUUUCCGGUCUGUUCAACCUCUACUCUACCCGUAAAAUAGUAUAACGAAACGGACAUUAUUGGUUUUAACUAACUAAAUCAAAGUGUGUUGUAUCUAUUAAUACAGCAGUCCAAGUCAAAAUGAAUACUUUCAACUUGAAAAGUAUAUAACAAACUAAAGGAGAAACAUUCAAGAUCCUGAAAUCAAUUAACUUAUAGAAUUCCCGGGCGUACGGUCUCGAAAGGUCUUCCAUUCUGAACUACGUUAAGACAAGGAUGAUAAGAAUGAUGGACCUGCUGGAAGUUCGUAGUUAUUGAAUUAGGAAAAUCCAAAACAUGAAGAAAGAAGUCAUGUCCGUAUUAUAACAAACCACGAAGGGUUAUAAACCUGUAUUUUCAUCUCUUCGAAAUGUAAAGUUCUUUAUAAUCUAAUAGUUAUUCUUUUAUACCAGGUUCGGCCUGAUGAUGAAGAUUUACAAAACAAAAAGUGACUUCCCCUAUAAAAUGAAGAGGAUUAGUACCAGCGGCACAUUGGGCUACUACCAUCCUACCAUUUAUUGAUGUAGGGAAAAACCAUACCGUUUUUUUUGUAGGAUGGGUAUACUACUAAACGUUGACGUCGACUUGUUAUUACUUUCUUUUUUCUCAUGUACGAAAUUAUUACAUGGAUGUUGUUACACAACGGGGUGGUUUGUAGUGAUCUCCUGACUCUUCCUUUUGCUGCGAAGGAGUUAGUCCAAGAUAACUGGCAACAUCGUAAUCGUACUACUUCUAAGACCUUGUCACGUGCUGGACAGGUUCGGGUUCCAGAAAGGAAUCACACUUCGCGGACUCGACCACAGCUCGUUUAUAGGGGACUUAUAAUAAAGUAACACAAGAAAGAUCCAUACGUUGGUAUAGUCGACGUGGUUCCUCGAGGUACGUGCCGCCAUGAUGAAGGGUGUUUUGGAUAAUAUUUGUUACACGAUCGAUGGUCCUGACACGUCUAAGUACCUUCUCGAAACACGUUUUUUAAUCCUCUUUCUCUUUGUAUUCUCUGUAAAGUCGUUCAAAUGAAUACCUCCGUUUUUUAUUAAUAUGAAUAGUGAUAUUACGCUCAACAUUAUUUGCUCUUUUUCUGCACACC
rnacentral:rRNA from 1 species